UGGGGAAUAUUGGGCAAUGGGCGCAAGCCUGACCCAGCAACGCCGCGUGAAGGAUGAAGGUUUUCGGAUUGUAAACUUCUGUCCUCAGGGACGAAAGAAAUGACGGUACCUGAGGAGGAAGCCCCGGCUAACUACGUGCCAGCAGCCGCGGUAAUACGUAGGGGGCGAGCGUUGUCCGGAAUUACUGGGCGUAAAGGGAGCGUAGGCGGCCAAUUAAGUCAGAUGUGAAAUUCCCGGGCUUAACCUGGGCAGUGCAUCUGAAACUGGAUGGCUUGAGUGCGGGAGAGGAAAGUGGAAUUCCUAGUGUAGCGGUGAAAUGCGUAGAUAUUAGGAGGAACACCAGUGGCGAAGGCGACUUUCUGGACCGUAACUGACGCUGAGGCUCGAAAGCGUGGGGAGCAAACAGGAUUAGAUACCCUGGUAGU
rnacentral:rRNA from 1 species